AUGUGCGGUCUCUCCGCUCCAAGCUGGACGAGCUGCAAGCUGGACGAGCUGCAAGCCUGCGUCAACCACCUGCAUGAGUACAGGACUGCCUCCGUUCUGGCUUUUAUGGAAUCGUGGUUAAACAACAGCGACUACGACAGCACGCUGCACAUUGAUGGCUUUUCACCACCUCUUCGUCUGGACAGAGACCGCAAACGCACCGGGAAGCAACAUGGCGGCGGCGUGUGUCUGUAUGUAAACAACAGCUGGUGCUCUACAGUCACUGUGAGGGAGAAGCUGUGCACUACAGACAUCAAGCUUCUGGCUGUUUCCCUGCGCCCUACUACCUCCCCAGAGAAUUCCCACAGCUUUUCAUCAUCUUGGUUUACAUCCACCCCAGAGCUGAUGCAGCUAAAGCCACAGAGUACAUCACCAACACUCUGUACAAACUGGAACAAUUAUCAUCGGACUCUCCCAAGUUCAUCCUGCGUGAUUUCAACCACUGUUCCCCUGACAAGUCGCUUAAAGGAUACCAACAGUAUGCUACAUGCAGCACACGUCAGGAGAAGACUCUGGAUAAAUGCUAUGGCUCUGUACCAGAUGCAUUUAAAGCCCUCCCCCUCCCCCCUCUCGGCUCAGCAGACCACCAACACCAUCCUGCUGGCCCCUGCUUACACCCCAGUCAUCAAGAGGAUUAAAAAGGUCACCAAAAACAUCAAGCAGUGGACAGCGGAAGGUAUCCUCACCCUACAAGGAUGUGUCAAAGCCACUGACUGGGACAGCCUUCUUUCUCCCUCUGAUGACAUCGAUGAACAAGUCAACACGGUGACAUCAUACAUCUCCUUCUGUGUUGACAACAUUAUGCCCUCAAAAACAGUCUCCAUCUACCCCAACAACAAACCCUGGAUCACCAAGGAACUCAAGGGAAUCCUUAAUAAAAAAAAGAGGAUUUUCUUCACUGGCUCUGCUCUGGAUAAAAAAGAGGUCAACAGGGAGGUCAAGAGGGCCAUAAAAACUGCUAAACUAGAGUAUAAAGUUGAAAGAAAUUCACCACAGGGGACCUCCACUCAGCCUGGCAGCACCUCAAAACCAUGGCCUCUGUGA
rnacentral:lncRNA from 1 species